rnacentral:lncRNA from 1 species
CCACCCUGCAAAACCACUUCACUGCUAGCUUUGGUGGGUGACCUUCUAGGACAGCUGGGCACACUGAUGGUCUGAAACCUGAAGCCACUGUAUGUUGUCCCAGCUCCCAGGCCGCAUGUCCUUCCAGAGACUUAAGAGUGUGGCAGUUCGUCCCAGUCCUAGGAUGAGUUGCCUCCCAGCCAUCUCUUCCAGUUUCACUUCCCCUUUGGGAACCGUUCCUCCCACAGUCAUUAGAACUGUGUCAGUUUGGAGAGAAGCAACAUUAUGGAGGAGACAGAAGGUGCAGACACCUGGCAGGUGGUGCUGGCUCCCUGAGGAACAGAAAAUGUUAACAAGCAGGAAACCUGGAUGAAGACGUGGGCGGUACCCCGGGAGGCCACAGAUUCUGACCCUCUGAUUUCCACAACUGGAUUUACAGGCUGUUUUGAGCUGCCCCAUGUGGAUGCUGGGAAUGGAAUUGAGUCUUCUCCAAGAGCAACAAGUGCUUGUAACCUCUGAGUGAUUUCUCCAGCCCCAUUGCUUCUUCUUUUUAAGAGAGUGCCUUAUGCACCCCAGACUGGCCUCAAACUCACAAAGACGUCAGAGUUGGCUUUGAACUCCUGAUCCUCCUACCUCAGCUGGCUGGGAACUUUGGGAUCACAGGCAUGCAUUACAAUGCCUGCCUAUAAAUUACUUUAAAAGAGAGAGCUAUUAGAGGACAUGCCAGCCACUCUAUGAUAGGCAGUCACUCUUUAAAAGGCUAGAUCCACAGCCUGAAGGGAUCAGCCUCCCAUCAGCUCUCUCUGGGAGAGGCUGUCUGUGCUGUGACUUCACUUUCUCAAUUUAUUUUUUUUAAGAUUUAUUUAUUAUAUGUAAGUACACUGUAGCUGUCUUCAGACACUCCAGAAGAGGGAGUCAGAUCUCGUUACAGAUGGUUGUGGAGUCACCAUGUGGUUGCUGGGAUUUGAACUCAGGACCUUCAGAAGAACUGUUAGUGCUCUUCACCGCUGAGCCAUCUCUCCAGCCCACAUUCUCAAUUUAUAAUACCUGGCUGCUCCAUGCUCUUUGCUACCGACUCCAUUUUGGAGUAAAUUCUGUGUUCUGAGACUUCCUUUCAGUUCCACAAACUCCUAAGCUGGGGAAGUGCCCUGAAGAGGCUUCUCUCGUCUCCCUCCCCCAUUCAUCUGCUGUAGCCUGAGCUGCUCUGGAACUUGCUAUGUAGAUCAGGUGGAUCAAAAGCUUGCAGAAAUCCUCUGGCCUCUACCCCCCAAGGUCUGGGAUUUAAGGUAUGUGCUACAAUGUCAGGAUAUAUUUAGAACUCUGCCUCUGUCUGUCUG